CUAAGUGGCGGACGGGUGAGUAAUGUAUAGUUAAUCUGCCCUUUAGAGGGGGAUAACAGUUGGAAACGACUGCUAAUACCCCAUACUCCUUUUAUCUUAAUGAUAAUUGGGAAACGUUUCUUCGCUAAAGGAUGAGACUAUAUGGUAUCAGGUAGUUGGUAGGGUAAGAGCCUACCAAGCCAAUGACGCCUAGCUGGUCUGAGAGGGUGAUCAGCCACACUGGAACCGAGACACGGUCCAG
rnacentral:rRNA from 1 species